rnacentral:rRNA from 1 species
AAUAUUGGACAAUGGGCGAAAGCCUGAUCCAGCCAUGCCGCGUGUGUGAAGAAGGUCUUCGGAUUGUAAAGCACUUUAAGUUGGGAGGAUGGGCAGUAGGUUAAUAUCCUGCAAUUUUGUCGUUACGAACAGAAUAAGCACCGUCUAACUUCGUUCCCGCAGCCGCGGUAAUACGAAGGGUGCAAGCGUUAAUCGGAAUUACUUGGCGUAAAGCGCGCGUAGGUGGUUCGUUAAGUUGGAAGUGAAAGCCCCGGGCUUAACCUGGGAAUUGCUUUCAAAACUGACGAGCUAGAGUACGGUAGAGGGUAGUGGAAUUUCCUGUGUAGCGGUGAAAUGCGUAGAUAUAAGAAGGAACAUCAGUGGCGAAGGCGACUACCUGGACUGAUACUGACACUGAGGUGCGAAAGCGUGGGGAGCAAACAG